UUUAGGCUCAGUGCCAGAAGAGGCGUCACCAGUGCACACUGUACUUCUCUAAACCUCUUAACCUCAGACACUUCAACAUCAGACAUCAGAGAUGCACCGGAGAUUCACUAGAUUCAGAUCAUCACAAGAGAUGAUGGAAAAUAGUUUAAAAGAAAUUAAUUCAUGGGAGAAGAUCUGUGCAGCAUCACAAACUGCAGGAGAAUUAAACAGAGAG